UUUGGAUCGAUGAUGUUAAUGUUAAAACUGCGUUAUCUUUCUGAAUGUACCUGAAAAGGGGCUUGAAAGAAGGCUAUUGAUAAUAUGCUGAGAUCCAAA